GCGUCCUUAGUGUAGUGGAUAUCACGUAAGAUUCCGGUUCUUGAGACGGGGUUCGAUUCCCUCAGGACGCG
rnacentral:tRNA from 3 species